rnacentral:rRNA from 1 species
GAUCAUGGCUCAGGAUAAACGCUGGCGGCGCACAUAAGACAUGCAAGUCGAACGGAAGUCGUUGUAAUGAUGUUGACAUGGACAGAGAACUUGUUCGAAGAAAAUGAAGAUUGACUUACAACAAUGGCUUUAGUGGCGGACUGGUGAGUAACACGUAAGCAACCUGCCUAUCAGAGGGGAACAACAGUUAGAAAUGACUGCUAAUACCGCAUAUGCCUUAGUAACAC